rnacentral:lncRNA from 1 species
AUGUCAUUUCACCACCGCGACCACUGCAUGACCCAACGUCCACGCUUGCACCACCUCAACUAUAGAUACCUGGAGCCCUUCAUGAGACGUCCCAACUUCGUGCUCCAUUCCUCCUCACCACCACCAGGGUCUUUGGCUCCGGAAGGGAAAAAAGUUUGUAAGUGCAAGACCAUGCAGUGGAGGCCCGUGAAUUCAAGCUUACCGAGGCGGCUCAUUGGACAGCCGGUCGGACCUGCGUCCUGCGCUCGCCACAUUGCUCAGUGCUGUCUGGUGUGGUUGUGACGAGACGCCCACAAACGAGGCAUCCGGUCAUAACACCUCCCACGGGCUGCGUGGGCGUGCAGGAGAUCACAGGUGAGCAGUGAGUUGGUAAAGUGUACAAAGGUGCUGAGACUUAUGCUCAGGCAGGGGCCACGUGGACCGGCUUCGUGCAGCAUUACUUUGAACACGCAUGCACGUGUGAUGCAAUGCCAUGUCGAGAAUUCCUCUCAGGUUCUGCAAGUAUUCUUUGUAAGUGUGUAUGAAUCCUCCCAUCUCAGGCAUAUUAAUAAAUAUAUUACUAUGGGAUUUUUUAAUACAUAAUAUUGUCAUAAAUGUGUGUGGGGGAGAGAGGGGGCGUAAUCUCAGAGGGGCUGUCUCUCAUUCGGCUCUGACGCACAUUCAGUCUCUAAGAUGAUCGGGCGAAUCUUUGAUAUACUGCGUGUGUAUAGUUCCAAACUUUAAAAAAAAAAGGUCCAUCAGGUGGGGGCUGACGGUUCGAGUAAGGCUUUGGAUUGGUGUUUCUUAAAAAACAUUCACCUCCGAAAAUAAAUAUUUUAUAUAUAUUUCUACUGUGUGAAUUGGUACCAACCUGGUUUUUUGCUGAGGUAGGGUUUACUCUUUUUCUUAAGCAAAUGUUAACUCAGAUUUUUAAAAUAUUUUCAUAAAUGCCACCUCUUUUUUGCAGUACAAUCUGUAUAAAAACGUACACACACAUUUUCAUUUACAGCAUACAGACAUGAUAGAUAAAUAAAUAAAUACAUGUAAUCUGUAUGCAUGUAAGGUUUUUUUGCGUGUGUGCACGCACGCGUGCUGUCCAGGUUUGGUUCACAGGUUUUUCAGGCAAGAGUCUCUGGCGACUAUUGGCUGAAGCCAAAAGAAAAGCCAGUUGAAAGUGUUUGAAUGGUAAUAACAACAAUAAUCAACAUAAUAAUAUACUGCAGAACAAGUUUGCAGGCCUACGUACAGAGAUAAAUAGAUAAAUAGUUACCUAUCCAUAGUUAGAGUUAGUAGUCCAUUUAAGUUCUUGUUAUUUUUCUUUUUAAGUAAUCUAGUACUACAGCAGCAAUGGCGCCUGAAUGUUUUGGUGCCAAGAAAAGCGGAGGGAAGAUUUGGGGCAAGGGUCAAGUGUCCAUGUUGCCAUGGCGAUGGCAGUCCCUGUGAACCUUGAAGGCAGCUAAGAGGUCAAAGGACAUCGGCUGCAGCGCAUGGUCCAACUGUCGCCGUGGCGACCUCGUCACUCGGCUGCAGCCAAAGCCUACGCUCACAGGAGAAGGAGGGGGA